GGGAGGCGCGGAGNUGAGCGCAGCGCGACCUCCACCCUUUGUGAAUAACCCUGUUGUUUCGGGGGCGACCGCGCCGCUUCCGUAACGGCCGCCCCCGGAGGUCAUCAAACACUGCAUCUUUGCGUCGCUAGUCUUAUUGUUAUUUCUUCAAAACUUGCAUCAAUUGAUCUCUUGGUUCUGGAAUCGAUCAACAACGCAGC
rnacentral:rRNA from 1 species